rnacentral:lncRNA from 10 species
CCCGGCGGUUCAAGUUUCUGCGCCCGGAGGACGCGGCCUUAGCCAAUCCCAGGGCUACAGGGCGCUUUUAAAAUGCAGGAACCUACUUCAGGGAACCAUACAGAGGCCAAAUUCAGAAUCCCUACUUGAACCGCUGACCUUUUGCCCUCUCCAAGGCCGGAAGCAAGCCCUUGCCUGAUGCACGCCUCAGUCGCCCCGUCUGUAAAGUGGGCAGCCCAUCAAAUUCACAUCUCCCUGGCUGAGAGUCAUCUGGAGAAAUAAUGACUAUGUGACCUAAUGAAAAUUGCACGGUGCCUGCCGAGCGAGGUGGGUAAGCCACUGGCCCAACGCUGUCAUUACAGGAGGUGAAGCAGCGCGUGGGCUGAUGACUGGCAAGGGGUGCAGCCGCAGGAACCUUUCAUCAUGGGUUCCCUUGGGAGGCCAGGUAGGUCAGCUCUGAAAGCACCCGGUGCUGCGGGGCCUGCCUUCCUGUGGCUUCGGCUUGGGCGCCAUCCCAAGCCGGGUUGGCCAGAACUCUGCCUGUGCAGCCCCGCCCCCAGGCAAGCAGGAAACAAUGCACCUGAGCAACCUCCUCCCAUCUGCAGAGGAGGAAGCUAAGGUGUAGGGGGGUCAAGGCACUGGCCUAAGGUCCCACAGCCAAGGGGUGGCUGGGAGGUGCAAUCAGGUCUGCCUGGCACAGAGUCUGGUCUCCUGACCACGAUGCCAAACUGGUUAUUAUUGUCACCACAAUAGAAUACUAAUAAUAGUUGUCGUAAUUAUUAUUAUUGUGGAGGGCUGUUCUCCAGGCAGGCAGGUCUGGGUUGCUGCGUCACUGGGGCCAGGAGGCUGGCUAGUGCCCACAAUGAGGCAGGGUCCUGUCCCAAACAGCACUAGGAGAAUGCUGGAGAUGGGAGGCUGAGCCCAUCCUGCAGCCUGGGUCAGCAGCCUGGGGCCUCACCCCCACCCUCCAUCCAAUGCUGGGUGGCGGGCAGCCUCUCCAAUGCCCAUCUGCCCUGGAGGGCUCUGGUGAUGGAUACAGUGGAGAUUCGUUGAUAUGAACAUUAAACAUUCAACCAGA